UACGGAGGGUGCAAGCGUUAUCCGGAUUCACUGGGUUUAAAGGGUGCGUAGGCGGGUUGGUAAGUCAGUGGUGAAAUCUUCAAGCUUAACUUGGAACUGCCGUUGAUACUAUCAAUCUUGAAUGUUGUGGAGGUAAGCGGAAUAUGUCAUGUAGCGGUGAAAUGCGUAGAUAUCAGGAGGAACACUGCGGUGUAGACGGCUUACUGGACGGUAACUGACGCUGAGGCACGAAAGCGUGGGUAGCAAACAGG
rnacentral:rRNA from 1 species